AGUGAACGCUGGCGGUAGGCCUAACACAUGCAAGUCGAACGGCAGCACAGUAAGAGCUUGCUCUUACGGGUGGCGAGUGGCGGACGGGUGAGGAAUACAUCGGAAUCUACUUUUUCGUGGGGGAUAACGUAGGGAAACUUACGCUAAUACCGCAUACGACCUACGGGUGAAAGCAGGGGAUCUUCGGACCUUGCGCGAUUGAAUGAGCCGAUGUGGGAUUAGCUAGUUGGCGGGGUAAAGGCCCACCAAGGCGACGAUCCGUAGCUGGUCUGAGAGGAGGAUCAGCCGCACGGGAGCUGAGACACGGUCCAGAGUCCUAUGGGAGGCAGCAGUGGGGAAUGGUGGACAAUGGGCGCAAGCCUGAUCCAGCCAUACCGCGUGGGUGAAGAAGGCCUUCGGGUUGUAAAGCCCUUUUGUUGGGAAAGAAAAGCAGCAGGUUAAUACCCCGCUGUUCUGACGGUACCCAAAGAAGAAGCACCGGCUAACUUCGUG
rnacentral:rRNA from 1 species